rnacentral:piRNA from 1 species
ACGUUUCGUGGAACCCAGUCAGACGACGGG